GGGUUACUCUGAGUGAUUUCCGUUAAGGAGAUCUUUUGGCACCUCUAAAAAUGGUGCAGAAUAAGGGGUGGGCAAGUCUGGUGUCAGCCGCCGCGGUAAUACCAGCACCCCGAGUGGUCGGGACGUUUAUUGGGCCUAAAGCAUCCGUAGCCGGUUCUACAAGUCUUCCGUUAAAUCCACCUGCUUAACAGAUGGGCUGCGGAAGAUACUAUGGAGCUAGGAGGCGGGAGAGGCAAGCGGUACUCGAUGGGUAGGGGUAAAAUCCGUUGAUCCAUUGAAGACCACCAGUGGCGAAGGCGGCUUGCCAGAACGCGCUCGACGGUGAGGGAUGAAAGCUGGGGGAGCAAACCGGAUUGGGUACCCGGGUAGUCCCAGCUGUAAACGAUGCAGACUCGGUGAUGAGUUGGCUUCAUGCCAACUCAGUGCCGCAGGGAAGCCGUUAAGUUUGCCGCCUGGGGAGUACGGUCGCAAGACUGAAACUUAAAGGAAUUGGCGGGGGAGCACCACAAGGGGUGAAGCCUGCGGUUCAAUUGGAGUCAACGCCGGAGAUCUUACCGGGGGCGACAGCAGAAUGAAGGUCAAGCUGAAGACUUUACCAGACAAGCUGAGAGGAGGUGCAUGGCCGUCGCCAGCUCGUGCCGUGAGGUGUCCUGUUAAGUCAGGUAACGAGCGAGACCCCUGCUUCUAGUUGCUACCAUUAUUCUCAGGAGUAGUGGAGCUAAUUAGAGGGACUGCCGUCGCUGAGACGGAGGAAGGAGGGGGCUACGGCAGGUCAGUAUGCCCCGAAACCCUCGGGCCACACGCGGGCUGCAAUGGUAAGGACAAUGAGUUUCGAUUCCGAAAGGAGGAGGCAAUCUCUAAACCUUACCACAGUUAUGAUUGAGGGCUGAAACUCGCCCUCAUGAAUAUGGA
rnacentral:rRNA from 1 species